UGACUCUGGUCUCCCUUCAUAACAAAUAAAUCUUUCACCUUUUACUAAAGAUUUCCGUGGAGGGGGACUCACUGAUGAGUGUAAUAAUAGGUUAUUAAGCACAAAACAAUAGAUUUUUC